rnacentral:rRNA from 1 species
UACAGAGGUCUCAAGCGUUGUUCGGCUUCAUUGGGCGUAAAGGGUGCGUAGGCGGCGCGGUAAGUCGGGUGUGAAAUCUUGGAGCUUAACUCCGAAACUGCAUUCGAUACUGCGGUGCUUGAGGACUGGAGAGGAGACUGGAAUUCAUGGUGUAGCAGUGAAAUGCGUAGAGAUCAUGAGGAAGACCAGUGGCGAAGGCGGGUCUCUGGACAGUUCCUGACACUGAGACACGAAGGCCAGGGGAGCAAACGGG